AACAGGAUUAGAUACCCUGGUAGUCCACGCCCUAAACGAUGUCAACUAGUUGUUGGUAGAGUAAAAUCUAUGAGUAACGCAGCUAACGCGUGAAGUUGACCGCCUGGGGAGUACGAUCGCAAGAUUAAAACUCAAAUGAAUUGACGGGGGCCCGCACAAGCGGUGGAUUAUGUGGAUUAAUUCGAUGCAACGCGAAAAACCUUGCCUGGCCUUGACAUGUACGGAACUUUCCAGAGAUGGAUUGGUGCUCGAAAGAGAACCGUAACACAGGUGCUGCAUGGCUGUCGUCAGCUCGUGUCGUGAGAUGUUGGGUUAAGUCCCGCAACGAGCGCAACCCUUGCCAAUAAUUGCCAUCAUUUAGUUGGGCACUUUAUUGGGACUGCCGAUGACAAAUCGGAGGAAGGUGGGGAUGACGUCAAGUCCUCAUGGCCCUUAUGGCCAGGGCUUCACACGUAAUACAAUGGUCGGUACAGAGGGUCGCCAACCCGCGAGGGGGAGCUAAUCCCAGAAAGCCGAUCGUAGUCCGGAUUGUUCUCUGCAACUCGAGAGCAUGAAGUCGGAAUCGCUAGUAAUCGCGGAUCAGCAUGUCGCGGUGAAUACGUUCCCGGGCCUUGUACACACCGCCCGUCACACCAUGGGAGUGGGUUUUACCAGAAGUAGGUAGUCUAACCGCAAGGAGGGCGCUUACCACGGUAGUAUUCAUGACUGGGGUGAAGUCGUAACAAGGUAACC
rnacentral:rRNA from 1 species